AAUCUACCUAGCUACAUGUGCGUCACUGCUACAUAGACUGGGGAUUGGCUGAUUCUGAGCUACAUUUUUCUCCCCGCCCCCGGUGUUUUCCAAGGAGGGCUCUCGAGGGAGCCGAACCACAAUCCCCAGAAUUCAUUGGGCCUUCUGGAGAGGAAGACUAAACUGAGCGUGCGGAGAAGGGAGGUGGCGGAAGCCGGAAGUUUAAAGCCGGCUCUCGCCUUAGUAGGCGGGUCUUCGCAGGGGCUGGCGGGUCAGGGACGGGGCAGCGCGCCGGUGGUCGUGACGCUCGGUGUUCGGGCCUGCCUCUUCCCCGCUUCGGCCGCGCGAGUGGCGGACAGAGUGGGAAUCCCUGAGACGCGGCCGAGCUGCAGCAUCCAGCCCAACCGCGCAGCCCAUCGCCCGCUUCUCACGGCCCCUCCAGGGCGCCUCUCCGCGGUCUUCGCCAGCUUCUGCCGACCUAACAGAAUACGGGUCCGUCAUAGCUUACCUUCGUCGGCUCCGUUAGGCAGGAGUAUCUCCUAAGAGGGCUAAAUGGCGGAAGCUGAGGGGCAGACAUGCCAACCGCCAAGCAGCUCGCCGACAUUGGCUACAAGACCUUCUCCGCUUCCAUGAUGCUCCUCACCGUGUACGGGGGCUACCUCUGCAGCGUGCGAGCCUACCGCUUCUUCCAGCUGCGCAGCGCCAGGCGCCAGGCUGCAGAAGAACAGAAGUCCUCAGGGGUCCUGUAGAGCCCAGUCUUCCCCUCUGAGCAGGGAGGCUUGAACAUGGACUGGAAAAGACCUCCCUGGCAUGCCAUCUGUGGCAAGAGCUAGGCCACGAUGAUUCGAGUCUGAAGGGCAAAAGUACCGUGGUUUCCGAAGCAGCACUGCCUUGUGCCCUUCUGACAGUUUGUGGAGGCCAUCAAAUAAAUGGGAAUAAGAGGGUGAGGUUUAUUACA
rnacentral:lncRNA from 1 species